rnacentral:lncRNA from 1 species
ACAAGAUUGAGCAACCUGGCCAGGUGGGGUACGCACGCCUUUAAUUCUAGCACUUGGAGGCAGAGGCAGGUGGAUCUCCUGAGUUCCAGGACAGCUGGAGUUUCCCAGAGAAACCCUGACUCGAGAAAAAAACAAAACCAAGAAAAGACUGAACAAUUUGUAUAUAGAAUGGCUUUACUGUUCUUUUAACAGAAAACUGUCUCCCAUCAUUUGGGGGUCCUCCAACAGGAAGCGGCUUGGUCUUUCCACAGGGUGGUAAUUUAUUCUAGAACCGAUGUGCCAGCGUUUCCUUCUGUGUGCUUUGAGUAGGAGCAGGAACAACGGAUCUCUCCAAGCAUGGGCAGACGGAGAGCUGCAACCCUUGGACCAACCAACGCCUGCCAGUGGGCGCCUGCAUCCCACGCCUGCAUCCCGCGUGCAGGCUACUGGCAGGUGCUCUGUGUCUCACUCCAUCUUUACCUGCCCUGUAAAGGAGGAACUGUUGUUUUUAGUCUCCUGGAGCAGCCGCGCCUUCCCACAGCACUCAGACUUGAGGAAGCUUAAGAAGCUGAGACCAGAGAGGGCGAUGUCCACCUUGGUGACGAAGCACUCUAGAGGCUGCCGCCACACUUAAAAAGUGACCAGUCACCAACAACUCAUCUUAAGUACAGGAAGAAUGCCAGCAGCUGAAUGAAAUUCUUGCUUUCCCUGGUGAACAACGAAGGGGAAGGGAAUGGAGUGUGGUGAAAGAGAGGGCAGAAAGGCUGCCAGUGUCCUCUUCAUCCCUGCCCCACCCCCACCCCCACCCCCCAGCACAGAGAGACCCGGGAAGAUUUCAAAUCUUUCCUUUAAGUGGCGGCUAAGGACAAAAUGAAAUGACUUAGCCACCUAUCAUGGUCUUUACUGAGUUAUAUCCAUGGAUAUAAGAUAAUUUGGCAUCUAAAAAACAAAGACAGGGCCAGUAAAAUGGCUCACUGGGUAAAGGUGCCCGCUGCCAAGCCAGAGCACCUGGGUUUGGUCCUUGGAACUCACACGGUGGGGAGAACAGAUCCCUUCAUGCUGUGUGCUGAUGCCCACAUGCAUGUUAGGAAAACACUUCCAGCCCCCUAAACUAACUUUUUCUAUUCCGUACUCUGCCUGUGACUAGACCUGGAAGGAGAGAACAAGGGCCUUCCUGAGGCAGGACAAGGACCCAGAACUACCCAGAAUGCAGCAGGGCGGCCCCGCACGACUGAGCUCUGAUCCUAACCUGCAAAGUGAAGUUUCAAUUUCCACUUCCUGAGAAGGUCAGGUGUAUAGGUGUGAACCAAGUGCACGUCUAGUUCCCUUGGAGGCCAGAAAGAAGGCGGUGUCAGAUCCCCAGGAACCAUAGUUACAGAUGGUUGUCUCCUGUAGCUCAACCUGGCCUGGAAUUCUCUAUGUAGCUGCAAGUGACCCUGACCUUCUGAGUCUUCUCUACCUUCCAGUGUAGUCUCCCCUCCCCCAGCCUGAAUCCUGCUUGCUCAGGGGUGGAGCUUCCCGCUCAAUCGUUCAGCCAUGCCCACUGCUGGAAGCUGCCGCUUUGCUGUUCGGAGCCGGAGCCGUACACGUGGUCACCCUGCUAUUGGACCCCAAGACUAAUUGGCGGGAAUCGGGCCCCUUCCCCUGCUUUAUAAUUGCGUGUGGAACAGUAAAAUUGAGCUUUGAUCAGAAUGCCUGUCUUAGCUGCAUUUCUUUAUCUCAACAUCUAGCCCCUCUUCUCUUCCAGUUUUCCAAAAUGCCUUUCCAGGCUAGAACCCAUGUUGUGAUCUGCUGGCCGAACACAACAUUCCAGUACUAGGAUUGCAGUGUGUGCA